rnacentral:tRNA from 14 species
UUUCUGGACGCGGGUUCAAAUCCCGCCAGC